GUCCAUAGAUUGAAGUUUCAGGUGGAGAGCAAGAUGAAAAAUAUGCAAAAUUACAUGCAUGCAACCCAUUUAUGCCAUUUUUCUCUUUGUUUGUAGGCCUGACCGUUUGUCCUUGAGCCGUAGAUGGUCAACAAUCCGCUAGCUGUCUUGCUCUGACUGGUGCACUGGACAUGAUUUCAAUAGUCAGCCAGACCAUGAUUGAGCUUAAGGGUUGUGCUGCGGAUGCAGCCUGUGCAGUUCGGGGAGAAAGUCACUGUCUCGGGCAAUGCGGUCUGGUAUCAGGUCUGGAUGAUCCUUGCCUGACUGCGGGUUUGUGUACACCUCAAUCCGACUCUGUGUCCUGAACAGAGGCCGCAGUGGUGCAGCGCUUGUGGACGAUCCAUCAACAUCCUGAAAGGUCAACACUACACCAAGCUGGGAAAAUUGAUCCUGAUAGUCAUCCCCAGGCCUGACCGUUUGUCCUUGAGCCGUAGAUGGUCAACAAUCCGCUAGCUGUCUUGCUCUGACUGGUGCACUGGACAUGAUUUCAAUAGUCAGCCAGACCAUGAUUGAGCUUAAGGGUUGUGCUGCGGAUGCAGCCUGUGCAGUUCGGGGAGAAAGUCACUGUCUCGGGCAAUGCGGUCUGGUAUCAGGUCUGGAUGAUCCUUGCCUGACUGCGGGUUUGUGUACACCUCAAUCCGACUCUGUGUCCUGAACAGAGGCCGCAGUGGUGCAGCGCUUGUGGACGAUCCAUCAACAUCCUGAAAGGUCAACACUACACCAAGCUGGGAAAAUUGAUCCUGAUAGUCAUCCCCAGGCCUGACCGUUUGUCCUUGAGCCGUAGAUGGUCAACAAUCCGCUAGCUGUCUUGCUCUGACUGGUGCACUGGACAUGAUUUCAAUAGUCAGCCAGACCAUGAUUGAGCUUAAGGGUUGUGCUGCGGAUGCAGCCUGUGCAGUUCGGGGAGAAAGUCACUGUCUCGGGCAAUGCGGUCUGGUAUCAGGUCUGGAUGAUCCUUGCCUGACUGCGGGUUUGUGUACACCUCAAUCCGACUCUGUGUCCUGAACAGAGGCCGCAGUGGUGCAGCGCUUGUGGACGAUCCAUCAACAUCCUGAAAGGUCAACACUACACCAAGCUGGGAAAAUUGAUCCUGAUAGUCAUCCCCAGGUAGUGGAAUGAAUGUUCACUGAACUACAGAGGAAUCACACCCAAAUGACUUUCCUGCCACGACAUUAGUGUGGCCACUCGCGUAGGAAUUCCUUAGCAAACAUGCUCUUUUGCAUGGUGACUGUGGACAUUUUUGCAAAACUUACGCUUUCAACACUGGAUUUUAAAGAGAAUACUUAAUAAAAUGUCGCUAACAGGACUUAUUUAUAUGAGAGAGACUAUCUGGAUGCGCAUUAAGUGUCACUUUGUGUCGUAAGCUGUUGAAGGAGCGAUUUGCGCCUUUUUAAGUGUUAAUUUUGGGUAGCCGGCUUGUAUCGGCUUGAAAGCUGAAAAUUAUGCCUCUCAUCAUAAUAGCAUUAAUUUUUGUAAUUGCAAUGUGUAUGUUUAGAUUGUAAGUGAAGCUUUUAAUAAUAAUUUUCAUAAAAAACAUGAUUUUAUAUGCUG